rnacentral:rRNA from 1 species
GAACGCGAAGAACCUUACCAGGUCUUGACAUUGAUGGACGAAACAAGAGAUUGUUUUUCUCCUUCGGGAGCCAGAAAACAGGUGGUGCACGGCUGUCGUCAGCUCGUGUCGUGAGAUGUUGGGUUAAGUCCCACAACGAGCGCAACCCCUAUCUUAUGUUGCCAGCACUUCGGGUGGGAACUCAUGAGAGACUGCCGCAGACAAUGCGGAGGAAGGCGGGGAUGACGUCAAGUCAUCAUGCCCCUUAUGACCUGGGCUACACACGUACUACAAUGGGCUUUAAUAGAGGGAAGCGAAGCCGCGAGGUGGAGCAAACCCCAGAAACAAGCUCUCAGUUCGGAUCGUAGGCUGCAACUCGCCUACGUGAAGUCGGAAUCGCUAGUAAUCGCAGGUCAGCAUACUGCGGUGAAUACGUUCCCGGGUCUUGUACACACC